CUUGGGCAAGUCACAGCCGCUCGCUGGGCCUCGGUUUCCAUAUCUGUAUCCUGAGAUAGACUUGAAGGCCAGAAAUCUUUCAAGAAAAAGUCUCAUUUGAAAAUCUUUCACAUCUUGUGAGGAUGAAUAAAAGACAGAAUGUCAACUUUGCCGCCUUAAAAUUUCAAAAAGAGGAAACAUUCCAAAAUCGCAUACAGCAUCCAUGAUACAUGAUCCUUGAUCCAGACAUAAAAGAGAAUAUAAAAAUGAAGAAAAGAGACGCUGUUAGAGAAAAAUGGGACUUCCCUCCAAACAUCUUGCUCCUCACCCACAUGGGUGGAAGUGAUCAACCCUCAGUCACUCAAAUGGGCACAGGAAGGGCCUUGGAUUAUCCCUUCAAGCUGGCGGCCCAAGAAAACUGUUUCUGCACCCUAUGUCAGCCCUUAAAACUUUACUAUAGCUCUAAUUCAAAAUUGUAAUAAUAAAAUUUGUAUUUAAAAUUAUGCACAGGCUUUGGCCUCCUCUUCAGCUGAACUUUAACACUUGGCCAUUUGGCAUUCAGCCAUAAUGUACCUGUAACUGUAAUGUACCCCUAAAUAUAAAUUGAAAAUCUUUUCUUCCCCCAACCCCUGGUCUCUUCUCCAGAGAUUACCACUGGUGCUUAAGGGCCUUGUAAUAUUUCUAUAAAAUAUUUGUAUUUGUUCUUGCAACAGUGGGAUCAUCCCAUAUACUCUCCAGUAAUUUGUUAUGUACCAUUACAUUAAAGAUAAUUUAAUUCAAACAUC